rnacentral:rRNA from 1 species
UAACACAUGCAAGUCGAACGGAAAGGCCCUGCUUUUGUGGGGUGCUCGAGUGGCGAACGGGUGAGUAACACGUGAGUAACCUGCCCUUGACUUUGGGAUAACUUCAGGAAACUGGGGCUAAUACCGGAUAGGAGCUCCUGCUGCAUGGUGGGGGUUGGAAAGUUUCGGCGGUUGGGGAUGGACUCGCGGCUUAUCAGCUUGUUGGUGGGGUAGUGGCUUACCAAGGCUUUGACGGGUAGCCGGCCUGAGAGGGUGACCGGCCACAUUGGGACUGAGAUACGGCCCAGACUCCUACGGGAGGCAGCAGUGGGGAAUAUUGCACAAUGGGCGGAAGCCUGAUGCAGCAACGCCGCGUGCGGGAUGACGGCCUUCGGGUUGUAAACCGCUUUCGCCUGUGACGAAGCGUGAGUGACGGUAAUGGGUAAAGAAGCACCGGCUAACUACGUGCCAGCAGCCGCGGUGAUACGUAGGGUGCGAGCGUUGUCCGGAUUUAUUGGGCGUAAAGGGCUCGUAGGUGGUUGAUCGCGUCGGAAGUGUAAUCUUGGGGCUUAACCCUGAGCGUGCUUUCGAUACGGGUUGACUUGAGGAAGGUAGGGGAGAAUGGAAUUCCUGGUGGAGCGGUGGAAUGCGCAGAUAUCAGGAGGAACACCAGUGGCGAAGGCGGUUCUCUGGGCCUUUCCUGACGCUGAGGAGCGAAAGCGUGGGGAGCGAACAGGCUUAGAUACCCUGGUAGUCCACGCUGUAAACGGUGGGUACUAGGUGUGGGGUCCAUUCCACGGGUUCCGUGCCGUAGCUAACGCUUUAAGUACCCCGCCUGGGGAGUACGGCCGCAAGGCUAAAACUCAAAGGAAUUGACGGGGCCCCGCACAAGCGGCGGAGCAUGCGGAUUAAUUCGAUGCAACGCGUAGAACCUUACCUGGGUUUGACAUGGAUCGGGAGUGCUCAGAGAUGGGUGUGCCUCUUUUGGGGUCGGUUCACAGGUGGUGCAUGGCUGUCGUCAGCUCGUGUCGUGAGAUGUUGGGUUAAGUCCCGCAACGAGCGCAACCCUUGUUCACUGUUGCCAGCACGUUAUGGUGGGGACUCAGUGGAGACCGCCGGGGUCAACUCGGAGGAAGGUGGGGAUGACGUCAAGUCAUCAUGCCCCUUAUGUCCAGGGCUUCACGCAUGCUACAAUGGCUGGUACAGAGAGUGGCGAGCCUGUGAGGGUGAGCGAAUCUCGGAAAGCCGGUCUCAGUUCGGAUUGGGGUCUGCAACUCGACCUCAUGAAGUCGGAGUCGCUAGUAAUCGCAGAUCAGCAACGCUGCGGUGAAUACGUUCCCGGGGCUUGUACACACCGCCCGUCAAGUCAUGAAAGUUGGUAACACCCGAAGCCGGUGGCCUAACCGUUGUGGGGGAGCCGUCGAAGGUGGGACUGGUGAUUAGGACUAAAU